GGAGAGGUGGCAGAGUGGUUGAAUGCACCGGUCUUGAAAACCGGCAAGGGUGAAAGCCCUUCGUGGGUUCAAAUCCCACCCUCUCCGCCA
rnacentral:tRNA from 1 species